CAAUCAAGUAGACCCUAUACCCCCCCCGCUAUCCACUACUUCAUCAGCUUCUUAUCCCAUCCUCUGCACAUCAAUCAUGACUUCACCGAUAAGCGCUCUGAUUCAGGAGGUGCAUCCGGAGGCUGUGCAGUGGCGGCGCCACAUCCACGAGUAUCCAUAUGUUGCGUAUGAGGAGCAGCCCACCGCCGACUACGUGGCGGACGUCCUCAGCAGCAUGCCCGCACCGCUGGACAUUCGCCGGCUGACGCCGAACAGCGUCGUGGCGGACCUGCGGGGUGGCACUGGCGAGGGACCCAUGUACGCCCUGCGCGCCGACAUGGAUGCACUGCCGCUGCAGGAGGAGAGCGGCGAGCCCUUCAGCUCGAAGCGGCCAGGCGUGAUGCACGCGUGUGGCCACGAUGCCCACACGGCGAUGCUGCUUGGGGCGGUGAAGGUGCUGUGCCAGAUGCGCGACCGCAUCCGUGGGACUGUUCGCUUUGUUUUCCAGCACGCCGAGGAGGUGGUCCCGAGCGGCGCGAAGCAGCUGGUGGGCCUUGGUGUGCUGGAUGGCGUGUCCAUGAUCUUUGGGCUGCACGUCGCUGCAGAAUACCCUGUCGGCACCAUCUCGACCCGACCGGGCACCCUCUGCGGUGCGUGCGACGACUUCGACAUUGUGAUCCGCGGUGCUGGCGGCCAUGCCUCGCAGCCGGAGCUGUGUGUCGACCCCAUUCUCAUUGCCUCCGAGGUCGUGGCAAACCUCCAGUCCGUUGUAUCACGCCGCGUGAGCGCUCUGAAGGCCCCUGUACUGAGCGUGACGCAGAUCGUGGGCGGCACCGGUGCGUACAACGUGAUUCCGGAUACCGUGCGCAUGCGCGGCACACUGCGCUGCCUCGACCGCGACACUCAGGCUCGGGUGCCCUCUCUGAUGGAGGAGAUCAUCGCCGGCAUCACGAAGGCGCACGGCGCCCAGUACGAGCUGAGCUGGCUGGAGCCCAACAUCGUGACGUACAACGACCCGAAGGCGUACGAAGUGGUGAAGAGCGUAGCUGAGGAAAUGCUUGGUAAAGAUGCGUUUAUUGUGAAGGAAGAGCCGGGGUUCGGCGUGGAGGACUUCUCGGAGUACCAGGCAGUGAUCCCGGGCUGCUAUGCUUUACUCGGAGCGAAGCCGUACGGCGACGGGAAGGCUCCACUGGCGCACAACUGCAUGUUCCGAGUCAACGAGGACGCCUUUGCCCACGGGAUCGGGUUGCACGUGAAUGUCAUACGCCGUCUGCUGAUGGAUUAGUAAGCCUCACCCAAGUGCGUGUUUGCCAUCACGCUGACGCCCAUCCACGCAGCCCGCGAUUGGAGUGAGCGGAGAACGACGGCGCAACAGCUGUUUUCCAGCUAACGUCAUGGCUGACACUGAUGUGCUCCCCUGCGAGAGAUUGCGCCGGGCGUGCGCCCCUCUCCAUCCUCCUUUUCUCCUCUGUUCGUUGUCGAGGAAGCGCGUUCGUCAUUGUGUAUUCUCUUCACCCGCUUCUCACAUCGAUUUCCUCCUUCCCCCUCCCCCCAAAGCGAUGCUUUCCUGUGAGGAAAGCAUGCCACUGUUUCUUGUUGUACACACACAUCAUUUGCUUGUUUCUUCUGCCUACUUAUCCUACCUUCUUUGCUUGCCAGCCUUGGUCCCUUCCAUUCUCCCCGUCCGCGCCACCCUUCCUGUCUCCUCACGUGUGUGGCGAUGGUGUGAUUGCCAUUUCAUAUAUAUAUCCCUGUUUGCUUUGCUGUCACGCACCCCCCCCUCCUGCACACACAGAGUGAAUAUGGGUACACCUUAUCGACUCCAUUAUAGAGGCGCUGCCGCCUCUUCCUCUAUUUUUUUUUUCGAACGUACACGAUACUUCACCGCGCCUUCGACAGCUGCUACAUGGAGCGCACGCAAACGGGAGAUGACGGAGGCCAGAAGACGCAAAGUGCACAUACGUGAGCAGCAGAACAGGACAAUGAGAAGCAGGGUCCUUCUGCAGCCCUCAUAAACGAAGACGCCGCAGUGCUUGCUCCGUCGCAAGUCAUCAGUGCCGUUGAAAACCUUCUUGCUGUGACACAGGCAGCAGAAGAGUUGCACAUACACAUAUAUAUAUAUAUAUGUGUGUGUGUGUCUGAGUGUGUAG
rnacentral:misc_RNA from 1 species